rnacentral:rRNA from 1 species
GCCGGUCGAAGAUACCAGGCCGCUGCGACUGUUUAUUAAAAACACAGCACUCUGCAAACACGAAAGUGGACGUAUAGGGUGUGACGCCUGCCCGGUGCCGGAAGGUUAAUUGAUGGGGUUAGCUAACGCGAAGCUCUUGAUCGAAGCCCCGGUAAACGGCGGCCGUAACUAUAACGGUCCUAAGGUAGCGAAAUUCCUUGUCGGGUAAGUUCCGACCUGCACGAAUGGCGUAACGAUGGCGGCGCUGUCUCCACCCGAGACUCAGUGAAAUUGAAAUCGCUGUGAAGAUGCAGUGUAUCCGCGGCUAGACGGAAAGACCCCGUGAACCUUUACUAUAGCUUUGCACUGGACUUUGAAUUUGCUUGUGUAGGAUAGGUGGGAGGCUUUGAAGCGUGGACGCCAGUUCGCGUGGAGCCAUCCUUGAAAUACCACCCUGGCAACUUUGAGGUUCUAACUCAGGUCCGUUAUCCGGAUCGAGGACAGUGUAUGGUGGGUAGUUUGACUGGGGCGGUCUCCUCCUAAAGAGUAACGGAGGAGUACGAAGGUGCGCUCAGACCGGUCGGAAAUCGGUCGUAGAGUAUAAAGGCAAAAGCGCGCUUGACUGCGAGACAGACACGUCGAGCAGGUACGAAAGUAGGUCUUAGUGAUCCGGUGGUUCUGUAUGGAAGGGCCAUCGCUCAACGGAUAAAAGGUACUCCGGGGAUAACAGGCUGAUACCGCCCAAGAGUUCAUAUCGACGGCGGUGUUUGGCACCUCGAUGUCGGCUCAUCACAUCCUGGGGCUGAAGCCGGUCCCAAGGGUAUGGCUGUUCGCCAUUUAAAGUGGUACGCGAGCUGGGUUUAGAACGUCGUGAGACAGUUCGGUCCCUAUCUGCCGUGGACGUUUGAGAUUUGAGAGGGGCUGCUCCUAGUACGAGAGGACCGGAGUGGACGAACCUCUGGUGUUCCGGUUGUCACGCCAGUGGCAUUGCCGGGUAGCUAUGUUCGGAAAAGAUAACCGCUGAAAGCAUCUAAGCGGGAAACUUGCCUCAAGAUGAGAUCUCACUGGAACCUUGAGUUCCCU